rnacentral:rRNA from 1 species
UACGUAGGGUGCGAGCGUUGUCCGGAAUUAUUGGGCGUAAAGGGCUCGUAGGCGGUUUGUCGCGUCGGGAGUGAAAACCCAGGGCUUAACUCUGGGCUUGCUUUCGAUACGGGCAGACUAGAGGUAUGCAGGGGAGAACGGAAUUCCUGGUGUAGCGGUGAAAUGCGCAGAUAUCAGGAGGAACACCGGCGGCGAAGGCGGUUCUCUGGGCAGUAACUGACGCUGAGGAGCGAAAGCGUGGGGAGCGAACAGG